rnacentral:rRNA from 1 species
GACGAACGCUGGCGGCGUGCUUAACACAUGCAAGUCGAGCGGUAAGGCCCUUUCGGGGGUACACGAGCGGCGAACGGGUGAGUAACACGUGGGUGACCUGCCCUUAGCUCUGGGAUAAGCCUGGGAAACUGGGUCUAAUACCGGAUAUGACUCCAUGACGCAUGUUGUGGGGUGGAAAGCCUUGUGCGGCUAGGGAUGGGCCCGCGGCCUAUCAGCUUGUUGGUGGGGUGAUGGCCUACCAAGGCGACGACGGGUAGCCGGCCUGAGAGGGCGACCGGCCACACUGGGACUGAGACACGGCCCAGACUCCUACGGGAGGCAGCAGUGGGGAAUCUUGCGCAAUGGGCGAAAGCCUGACGCAGCGACGCCGCGUGAGGGAUGACGGCCUCGGUGU